CAUAUUUUACAGCGGAUUCGUUCUUCUUAUAACAGAUGGACUGUACGAAGUGUUCUUAUCGGGUCAAAUGUUGUCCUACAUGUGGAACAAUUUUCGAAACCGGAAAUGAGAUUGCAGAAAAAAUACAUCCAUCAACAGCUGCCAAAGAUGACUGGACAAAGAUAAAAUCACAUGGUGAAUGCUCGUCAUUCAGUGAUAACAAUACCCAACAAAAUUCGAAUGAAUACAGAAUGGUAGUUUUGGGUUUACCAUCCUCUGGCGUGAGCGCAACUGCUAACACUAUAGUAGGAGAAAAAAUGUUUCCGGACGGCGUUACUCUUGGUGUUACUACGAAGGAAUGUCAGAUGGAAAGUUGUACACGUUUUGGUCAUGUAUUAAAGGUAGUGGAUACACCUGGAUUUGUAUGCGACAAAAAAAUGAGGACUGCAGAAGAACUAUUCCCAGGACUUAAAAAAAGUAUUAUGCUCAUGCCUCCAGGACCACACAUUGUCCUGGUUGUACUGCCGUUGGAUAGAAUAAACGAAGAUUUACAUCAUAUGAUUCAUUGUCUUAAGUGCUUUGAGAAUUUGUCUAGGCAUGUCAUUGUCAUAUUGACAAAAAUUGAUGAGACUGGACAAGAUAGGGCGGGAUUGAAAAAUAAAAUCUAUGAAAGUGAAAAUUUGAGUGAAUUGCUGGAGUUUUGUGGAAAACGUGUUUUAUUAUUUGAUAAUACAAGCAAUAGCGAACAACAAGCCAAAGAACUGUUAGAUGUAGUGAUUGCAGUUGUUGAAGGAAAUAUGUCAGAAUGCAUUAAAACUGAUUUUUUUUCGCAUAAAACUAACAAAAAUCUUGAGCUAGUUCUCCAAGACUACGAGAAAAGUAAGAAAUCAAUUUCAGAACGCUUCUUAGGCAGUUUUGGAUUUGGAAAAUAAGACUUUGAACUGCUUCAAUUUAGAUUUAUUCCUUUUCUGCUUUUAUUAUUUAAUUAAAAACUAUCAAUCGAACUAUUAUACUAUUUUAAUAUUUAGUCAAUAUAUGUCAUUAUUAUAUACAUGACUUUAUGCAUAUCAACUCGAAACUUAGUCGUUCCAGACUGCAUCAUUUAAAUAUACACAGUAGUAUAAUGUUCAUGGGAAGUUUUCAAAAGCAAAUGCACGGUAUACGAUCGCGUUUUCAUGACAAUAAGUCUGUCGCAUGUGCCACAUGGCGAAAUAAUUUAGUUAAUGCGACAACUAGGUAUAUUAAAAAUUCUCCUAUAUAUAAAAUCGUUUCCCUCCCAUUUGUGCCCAGACUGGAAAAAGGCGGAAUUUUCUUGCAUCAUGGGACACAAAUUAGCAGACGGAUGAUAACCCAUAUCCUUUGUCAUUGUUUCCUUGAAUUCUAGACAAAAUACUCAGGUUUGAAUCUUUUGACACACACAAUUUUUGAAGUAAUAUGGUAUAAGCCAACUGGAAUCCCUUAAUUGAGGCAUGCUAAAUAUUGAUACAAUCAUUUCUUUGUGAAUAAAUGGAGAUUUGGGGAUAGCCAAUGAGACAUCAACCAAA